UCUCAGAGCAACAAUUUCAUAAGCUGUGGGCUUAAGCUCUUAAAAUAAUUAAAAACAAGGUACUUGGAAGAUGAUCUGUCUCCAUUCAAUAAAACUGGCUACUACUGUGGAGGAAAAAUAAACAUCCACAAGUAUUUAGGCAGAGACUCAUUCCUCAUUAAAGAUGAUACAACUCUGUAAAUAUUCACGUAUGACUAGUUCCUCAGAGACAAUGAAAUAAGAAGAAGGUUUUGGUAAUGUGCUUCUUCUUCAGUAAAUACAUCUUUCUCUGGAAACUAAAUCCUUCCUCUGGACAAGCAUCACUACGUCAAGCAAUUCUGUACAAAACUGAAGUACAGCAAUUAUCAAGAAAUUAAUA